GCAGGUAUAGUUUCAAUCCAAAACAUUAGACUGUGAUCCUAAAAAUAGAAGUUAAAUUCUUCUUACCCGCC
rnacentral:tRNA from 1 species